rnacentral:rRNA from 1 species
CAGGGCGCAGCUGAUCCAUUAAUGCCGCGUGGAUGAUGAAGGCCUUAGGGUUGUAAAGUCCUUUCGGCGGGGACGAUGAUGACGGUACCCGCAGAAGAAGCCCCGGCUAACUUCGUGCCAGCAGCCAGCGGUAAUACGAACGGGGGCUAGCGUUGUUCGGAAUUACUGGGCGUAAACGGGCGCGUAGGCGGCUGCCCAAGUCAGAUGUGAAAGCCCCGGGCUUAACCUGGGAAUUGCAUUUGAUACUGGGCAGCUUGAGUUUCGGAGAGGUGGGUGGAAUUCCCAGUGUAGAGGUGAAAUUCGUAGAUAUUGGGAAGAACACCGGUGGCGAAGGCGGCCCACUGGACGAAUACUGACGCUGAGUGCGCGAAAGCGUGGGGAGCAAACAGCGAUUACAUACCCUGGCUACUCCACCGCUGUAAACCGAUGACGUGCCUAGCACGCUUGGGGUCCUCUAGCGAUUUCAAGUGUCCGCCACUAACGCCAUUACCCACUCCGCCUGCGGAGUACGGCCGCAUGGUUAACACUCAAAGGAAUC